rnacentral:rRNA from 1 species
GAAAAGUGCGGGGAUGAGGUGUGGGUAGCGGAGAAAUUCCAAUCGAACCUGGAGAUAGCUGGUUCUCUCCGAAAUAGCUUUAGGGCUAGCCUCAAGAUAGAGAAUCCUGGAGGUAGAGCACUGUUUGGACUAGGGGCCCAUCCCGGGUUACCGAAUUCAGACAAACUCCGAAUGCCAGUGAUUUAUGCUUGGGAGUCAGACUGCGAGUGAUAAGAUCCGUAGUCAAGAGGGAAACAGCCCAGACCACCAGCUAAGGUCCCCAAAUAUCCGUUAAGUGGAAAAGGAUGUGGCGUUGCUUAGACAACCAGGAUGUUGGCUUAGAAGCAGCCAUCAUUUAAAGAGUGCGUAAUAGCUCACUGGUCGAGUGACACUGCGCCGAAAAUGUACCGGGGCUAAACGGAUUACCGAAGCUGUGGAUGGACAUCGUAGAUGUCCGUGGUAGGAGAGCGUUCUAAGGGCGUUGAAGUCAGACCGGAAGGACUGGUGGAGCGCUUAGAAGUGAGAAUGCCGGUAUGAGUAACGAAAGACGGGUGAGAAUCCCGUCCACCGAAUGCCUAAGGUUUCCUGAGGAAGGCUCGUCCGCUCAGGGUUAGUCGGGACCUAAGUCGAGGCCGAUAGGCGUAGACGAUGGACAACAGGUUGAUAUUCCUGUACCACCUCCCCGCCGUUUGAGCAAUGGGGGGACGCAGAAGGAUAGGGUGAGCGUGCCGUUGGUUGUGCACGUCCAAGUUGUGAGAUGAGAAACGAGGCAAAUCCCGUUUCUAGAUACAUCAAGCAGUGAUGGCAAGAGGUUUACCUCAGAGUCCCUGAUUUCACACUGCCAAGAAAAGCCUCUAGCGAGGCGGGAGGUGCCCGUACCGCAAACCGACACAGGUAGGCGAGAAGAGAAUUCUAAGGUGAGCGAGUGAACUCUCGUUAAGGAACUCGGCAAAAUGACCCCGUAACUUCGGGAGAAGGGGUGCUCUGGUAGGGUGAAUAGCCCGAGAGAGCCGCAGUGAAUAGGCCCA